AGAUCCCUUAUCUGGAAAACCCCAGGUCCCAAACAUUCUGGAUAACAGGUCCCAUACCUGAAAAUAAGUCAUUUUAAACACUCAUUCACGAUACCUAACCUAACUCUUGUUUUCUAGAUCAAGAACAUGAACCAGAGGGAACCCCCAGACUAUUCUCAGGUUGGACCCUGGUCUGAAUAAAGUCAAGCGGAGGAGGUACUUCAGCCUUGGCAGAGUUGUAGGAACAAAAAGUUGUGGGUUUUACAUCCUAAAGGCGUAAGAAUAAGCUGCAUCCUCCAUACUAGGUAAGUAUUCUAUGUUAAUAUGAAGUGGUAAUAGUGGAGAAGGGUAUGUAGCUAGCUUUAGUUUAUGAUUUAGGGAGAGCCAAAGAGAAAUGGUAGAAUUUAGUAGGAUGUAAGGAUUUGGGUCUUCUUAGCACCGAUUAGGGAAUGGAAUGUUUAAUUCACCCACAAAUUUCUAAGUGUUCUUCAGCUUACAGGGGAGUCUAGUUAAG